AUUGAACGCUGGCGGCAGGCCUAACACAUGCAAGUCGAACGAUAACAGGCAACAGCUUGCUUCUUCGCUUACGAGUGGCGGACGGGUGAGUAAUGUCUGGGAAACUUCCUGAUGGGGGGGGAUAACUACUGGAAACGGUAGCUAAAACCGCAUAACGUCCCAAGCCCAACGUGGGGGACCUUUGGGCCGCUUGCUCUCCGUGUUGCCCAGGUCGGAUGAGCUAGUAGGUGGGGUAACGGCUCACCGAGGCGACGAUCAGUAGCUGGUCUGAGAGGAUGACCAGCCACACUGGAACUGAGACACGGCCCAGACUCCUACGGGAGGCAGCAGUGGGGAAUAUUGCACAAUGGGCGAAAGCCUGAUGCAGCAACGCCGCGUGUAUGAAGACGGCCUUCGGGUUGUAAAGUACUUUCAGCGGGGAGGAAGGGAGUAAAGGUAAUACCUUGGCACAUUGACGGUACCCGCAGAAGAAGCCCCGGCUAACUCCGUG
rnacentral:rRNA from 1 species